AGGGGGAUAGUUAAAUACGGUAGAAUGUAGAGCUCCAAACUCUAAGAUGUGGGUUCAAAUCCCGCUCACCCUG
rnacentral:tRNA from 1 species